rnacentral:rRNA from 1 species
UACGAAGGGUGCAAACGUUGCUCGGAAUUAUUGGGCGUAAAGCGCCCGUAGGCGGCUUUUCAAGUCCCAUGUGAAAGCCCACGGCUUAACCGUGGAAGUGCAUGGGAAACUGGAAAGCUUGAGUACUUAAGAGGAUCGCGGAAUUCCCGGUGUAGAGGUGAAAUUCGUAGAUAUCGGGAGGAACACCAGUGGCGAAGGCGGCGAUCUGGGAAGAUACUGACGCUGAGGUGCGAAAGCGUGGGGAGCAAACAGG